rnacentral:rRNA from 1 species
UAGGGAAUCUUCCACAAUGGACGCAAGUCUGAUGGAGCAACGCCGCGUGAGUGAAGAAGGCUUUCGGGUCGUAAAACUCUGUUAUUGAAGAAGAACGUGUGUGACAGUAACUGGUCAUGCAGUGACGGUAUUCAAUCAGAAAGUCACGGCUUACUACGUGCCAGCAGCCGCGGUAAUACGUAGGUGGCAAGCGUUGUCCGGAUUUAUUGGGCGUAAAGCGAGUGCAGGCGGUCUUUUAAGUCUGAUGUGAAAGCCUUCGGCUUAACCGAAGAAGGGCAUCGGAAACUGGGAGACUUGAGUGCAGAAGAGGAGAGUGGAACUCCAUGUGUAGCGGUGAAAUGCGUAGAUAUAUGGAAGAACACCAGUGGCGAAGGCGGCUCUCUGGUC